UACAGUGUUUUUUUGUUGUUGUGGGGAGGCGGAGCCCACGUGCUCUUGCAGAGUCUGAAGGCCUUUUGGAACCGCUAUUUCCGCAAGAAAGUAGGAACCGGCCCGGCUGAUUAGGAGAGUGUGGUCUAUCACCUACAGCCGGCGGAAUUGUGCGGGCUGGCGAACAUUCUUAAUGCUGCGCACUAGGAGAAUUCACUUCUGAGGUCUUCGAACCAGAAAACAAGAACACUUGACUGUUUAAAAAAACACAGGUGCCUGUGCCGUGUGAUAACCAGGAGAUACAGCCCAGGGCGGGGGAGUACGUGUUCGACCAAAGCAGCCUCCUACCCGGCACCACCACUACUGGCCGAGAGGCACUGGGCAAACUAGUCUCUUCACCCUUAUCCACCUACUAGGGUGGUUACGAGAACGAAGUGAGAUCAUCCGUGUAGAGCUCUCAGUGACAUGCCAUGCGGUAUUCAAAGGACGGCUGCUUCCUGUUCUGCCUUGGUUGUCACCUAAUCAUCUGCGAUUUCUACCGGAACAAUGAAGGUGAUGUUUCCACCUCAAAGUAAGCUUAUAAGGACUUCUGGAAGGAGAAGAGUCAGUGGCCCAUAAGAUGGUAACCGAGCUUUCUUACGUUGCACACUGUCCCAGAGGUUUGGU